AUUGAACGCUGGCGGCAGGCCUAACACAUGCAAGUCGAGCGAGUGGCGGACGGGUGAGUAAUGUCUGGGAAACUGCCUGAUAGAGGGGGAUAACUACUGGAAACGGUGGCUAAUACCGCAUACCAUCGGAUGUGCCCAUAUGGGAUUAGCUAGUAGGUGGGGUAAAGGCUCACCUAGGCGACGAUCCCUAGCUGGUCUGAGAGGAUGACCAGCAACACUGGGACUGAGACACGGCCCAGACUCCUACGGGAGGCAGCAGUGGGGAAUAUUGCACAAUGGGCGCAAGCCUGAUGCAGCCAUGCCGCGUGUAUGAAGAAGGCCUUAGGGUUGUAAAGUACUUUCAGCGGGGAGGCGUUACCCGCAGAAGAAGCACCGGCUAACUCCGUGCCAGCCGCCGCGGUAAUAC
rnacentral:rRNA from 1 species